CUUUACUCAAAGGCUGCUGGCCAAUCACAGAGGGAGGUGCUGCCUCGGGGAAAGCUCUCAGCCAAUCAGAGGAGAGAGGGGGAGAGGUUGCGCUUCUCGCAUAAACCAAAGUGCAGAUUUGUCAGGUGAUCGAGCUGUCAUAUGAUGACUACGGUAUCUAAAUGUCACAAGGUCUAUGUGCAAUGAAACAACAACUCAGUGGGCGUGAAACAAAGACUGAUGGUCAAAACGUUUCCAUCAGUCUGAAGAAAGAGGUCUGAGAUCACAAGUUGAACGAUACAGAAAGACAAUUACCCAUCAUUCCAGUGAGGCUUGAGGUGUUUUUUCAUGAGUUCCACGACUCCAUCAAACCACUGCCAAAAGGUGAAGUUGCGUCCAGGUAGGCUCUCCUGUAUAAAUAUACACAUUCCAUCAUUAAUCCAUUGUUUUACACAUUUAAAAAUUAGCUGGGCAAAGGUUUAGUUGUUGUACAAUGUAGACAACACACAGUAGAUUCUGUAGCCAGGAAACAUUAACAAAGCAAAUACAUUUAACCUUUGUAGUCAGUUGUUUAAACAUAGAAAUGCUGGACUCACUCGAUUGAACUGGGCCCAUGUUAUGGUCAUGUUACGGUAGUCCUCAGGGUUGUUGCUGCUGCUUGUAAAAGCCUUCUGUGCCAAGAAGACCAGGUUAUCCUCUGACAGGCCUCGACCACUAUGCAUCUCUGCCUUGUACUUCAUAUCAAGGGCCUCGCACAGCUGUGGCCACAGGACCUUGUCCGGCACAACAAAUGGUACCCUGCCCUGUUAAGAAAGACGAAAUUGGGAAAAUUAUGUUGCUGAGGAAUUCCAAGUGUAUGUGGCAAGUAAAAAUAAAGGGGGGGUGAUGAAGGUAUAAAAAAGCUAUAGGGUGGGUGUGUAUUUCUAAAACAAAUAGCUGAUGAGCUGACAACUUACUGGCUCAGCAAAGGCAUUGUCCCACAGUACUGUUGCUGUGGCAUUGUUGUCCUGACUGCCAUGCACGAUCACUACCACGGGCAGCGAUAAAGUCUGCAGGUAAUGGACAAGAAAACAGGAAAAGAUUAAAAUAGUAAGAAUAUUAUGAGGAUUUUCUAACUAUUGCUAGAAAGCGUUAUUUGGGUACUACUCAAGUGCAAAACAUCAGAAGUCACGUGAUUACUUUGACAUGGAAGACCAGUUCAUUGCCCCCAACACUGAACUGCGAUUCAAACAGAACAGUGAACUUUUCCUCCGUCACUGACUCCGCACCUCUUCUGUCCGAACGCUUGAUCCGCUUUAGUGACUGCAAAUCACACAGGAAAGGAAAAAAGACCUAAGGGGCUGUCUCGGGUAUAUGCUGAAUAUAGUCAGUAUUCAGUGUCAUAGAUGCUGCUUCCUUUGGACUAAGGGGGAAAGCGAAACCAAAAGCCAAAGAGACCAAAACCAUCCUAAAGAUCUCACCAUGUUUCUGAAGUGAGCACUGAGGGUGCCGGUGGCUUGAUGAUAUUCCAUCACACAGUUGUUGUUGAGGAUUUCUCCACUGCUUUCACUGAAAACAUAAGGCAAAGCUUUUUUUAAGACACACAGUGGCACAGUGACUGUAGCUGUAGAUCAACAGAUAAGGAUGACACAUUUAAUCUGCUAAUCUCACGCUAAGACUAUACCACCAUACAAUUAUUGUAGUAGCUUGCAAACUAUUGUCUUUUACUACCUACAAACAAAGUCCCCACUCUUUACUACUUUGCAUUGGCCACUGAUGCACAAUAUAUUUUAACAAUGUUUGAGACAUAUUUUGAGACUUGUGCUUUACCUGUGUGUGCUCUCAUUCUUCAGCAGAGCUUUGGCCUGCUGCUCACUAACAAUGACAGCUUUGACCUGUGGUGGGUUCAUGUGGACGUUCAGCUUCCCUCCCACCAGAAGGCGCACGAUGGCUGCAAACUUGGUCUGGGUCUUUAAAACCUGGGGAGGCUGUUUCUCGAUGAUGAAGGUGCUGAACGAAAAAGGAAAAAACAGAUGUGUUUAAUGCAGCGCACCAGCUCCAAAGGACAGCGGUCAUAAGUGCUCUGAAGAGAUACCACAAAAUCAGUUUUCAGACAAUUUAAUGUGUCUAUGUCUACUAAACACGGUUUGUGGGCAGGCUUCUUUCUCUUGUUUAUUUAUUGCUGACUAUUACCUUGAGC